AAGAAUGUGAGCGCCAUUGAGAAGCAAACACUGACAAACGUGAAGAAGCAUUGCUGAACUCUCCGGGAGAGAGGCGCCGCACAACAAAUGUUUUAUUCAUAGCAUGUAGCCAGCUGGGAAAUUUGAAUGCAAGAGCAGCUGCGGUACAAGGACGAUCCACAUCUCGCCUGGCAACCAAACAUCGCCGCUCUCUCACUGUCUGCCUUGCACACAGCGCUUAACACAAUGAUUCCUCCACCUGGAAGACGAGACUAGCCUACAGGAGCCGGAUCGCACCGCCGCUCUGAAAGGCCGCCGAGGGCCAGCUCAACUAUCCGGGCCAAGUUCACAGGCGGAGCAGCAAACAGGUGUAAAGGAAGGACCGGUUCUCUGACCUGUUCGUCCGGGUGAUACCGACGUUUGUUCCCUGAUGUUUACCUGAGAUCUUUCGGCCUGUCGCCUGGAGUUUGAGUCAUGCCCUGGGGUUUCAGCAGGAGCGUCAGCUCUCACUGGCAGAAGGAGAGGUUUUAAAUGCGGAAGAAGAGCGUCCAGGCUGAAUCAGGCAGAGCUAUUUCAGGACACUCGAUUUCUUCCAGGUCAUCAGAGUCAUCUCAGCUGGACUGA